CAAAAGUAACCGGAAAGAAAGGAAAGAAGAAACGAACCCGCGGCUCUCCCAGGGAGGAAGCAGCCCUGGCACCCACGUCGGUAAACACACCGUCAGGGUUUUUUUAGUGAAACCAAUUAAGUCAAAAAGCCAUGGGGCUGGCCCUGGGAAGAUGGCCCCUGCCAGGAGGAAGAGGAACGAGGCUGAACAGUGGACAAAUAAUCCGAAUCUUUUAAAAGUGGGAGCAGAGACAGAAGGAGGAACAGUCAUUAUCAUUAGAAAACG
rnacentral:lncRNA from 1 species